rnacentral:rRNA from 1 species
GACGGGUGAGUAACACGUGGAUAACCUACCUAUAAGACUGGGAUAACUUCGGGAAACCGGAGCUAAUACCGGAUAAUAUUUUGAACCGCAUGGUUCAAAAGUGAAAGACGGUCUUGCUGUCACUUAUAGAUGGAUCCGCGCUGCAUUAGCUAGUUGGUAAGGUAACGGCUUACCAAGGCAACGAUGCAUAGCCGACCUGAGAGGGUGAUCGGCCACACUGGAACUGAGACACGGUCCAG